rnacentral:rRNA from 1 species
UGCGAAGGGUGCAAGCGUUACUCGGAAUUACUGGGCGUAAAGCGUGCGUAGGUGGUUUGUUAAGUCUGAUGUGAAAGCCCUGGGCUCAACCUGGGAAUUGCAUUGGAUACUGGCAGGCUAGAGUGCGGUAGAGGAUGGCGGAAUUCCCGGUGUAGCAGUGAAAUGCGUAGAGAUCGGGAGGAACAUCUGUGGCGAAGGCGGCCAUCUGGACCAGCACUGACACUGAGGCACGAAAGCGUGGGGAGCAAACAGG